UUUGCACUCAUCGGGGAAGGGUGAGAACCUUCGACUAAGGUUCGACUCGAGCGAAAGCGAGAGAACGUUUUCACAGGCAACGGCCCGAAGGGUGAGGAGCGAAUCGACGAAUAAUCCUUUCCCCACCGCCA
rnacentral:sRNA from 1 species